rnacentral:rRNA from 1 species
UGCCAGCAGCCGCGGUAAUACGAAGGGUGCUAGCGUUGUUCGGAAUUACUGGGCGUAAAGCGCGCGCAGGCGGUUUGUCAAGUCAGAUGUGAAAUCCCAGGGCUUAACCCUGGAACUGCAUUUGAAACUGGCUCACUAGAGAUAGGUAGAGGAGAGUGGAAUUCCCAGUGUAGAGGUGAAAUUCGUAGAUAUUGGGAGGAACACCGGAGGCGAAGGCGGCUCUCUGGACCUAUUCUGACGCUGAGGCGCGAAAGCGUGGGGAGCAAACAGGAUUAGAUA